ensembl:antisense Gm17210 predicted gene 17210
CACAAAGAAAGGAAGGUUCUCUUGAAGUAGCAAUCAAGGCAUCAAGGUAAGAGAACGAAAAAUUGGCUUGGAAUCCUAGGAAAGGACCCGUCAGACGGCCUUGAUCCACACCUGUCUCAACUACUGCACAAGCACAUGCUGACCAGUAAGGGGACAAAGACAGGGGAGCCAAGCCAGUCUCCACCCUCUGCUAGCUGUAGUUAGCCACUUGCUUAGCUCCUGGCUUCAUUUUUCUCAGUUACACAACAGAAUUGAACCAGAUGAUCCUUGGAAACUCUCAGUUAGGAUUCCAUAAUCACUGUUAUCAUUUUUCUGCCUGUAUCAGGUGUUAACAAUGUAACUACACAAAUGAAAUUUCCAGGAAAGUAAAUUAAACUUGACCUUAAAUAUA